CGAGUCUGCCUUGAAGAUCGGAGUGCUUGCACUCUGUGAAACAAGAUACAGGCUAGCGGCGGACGGGUGAGUAACACGUGGGUAACCUGCCCAAGAGAUCGGGAUAACACCUGGAAACAGAUGCUAAUACCGGAUAACAACAGAUGAUGCCUAUCAACUGUUUAAAAGAUGGUUCUGCUAUCACUCUUGGAUGGACCUGCGGUGCAUUAGCUAGUUGGUAGGGUAACGGCCUACCAAGGCGAUGAUGCAUAGCCGAGUUGAGAGACUGAUCGGCCACAUUGGGACUGAGACACGGCCCAGACUCCUACGGGAGGCAGCAGUAGGGAAUCUUCCACAAUGGACGCAAGUCUGAUGGAGCAACGCCGCGUGAGUGAAGAAGGGUUUCGGCUCGUAAAGCUCUGUUGUUGGUGAA
rnacentral:rRNA from 1 species